CAAUAGCGUAUAUUUAAGUUGCUGCAGUUAAAAAGCUCGUAGUUGGAUUUCGGGUGGGAAUGGCCGGUCCGCCGUUUCGGUGUGCACUUGCUACGCCCACCUUGCUGCCGGGGACGUGCUCUUGAGUUCACGCUCGGGACACGGAGUCGGCGAGGUUACUUUGAGUAAAUUAGAGUGUUCAAAGCAGGCCUACGCUCUGAAUACAUUAGCAUGGAAUAACACGAUAGGACUCUGGCCUAUCUUGUUGGUCUGUAGGACCGGAGUAAUGAUUAAGAGGGACAGUCGGGGGCAUUCGUAUUUCAUUGUCAGAGAUGAAAUUCUUGGAUUUAUGAAAGACGAACUACUGCGAAAGCAUUUGCCAAGGAUGUUUUCAUUAA
rnacentral:rRNA from 1 species